rnacentral:tRNA from 1 species
CGCGGGGUGGAGCAGUCUGGUAGCUCGUUGGGCUCAUAACCCAAAGGUCGCAAGUUCGAAUCUUGCUCCCGCUACGA